rnacentral:rRNA from 1 species
AACGAACGCUGGCGGCAGGCCUAACACAUGCAAGUCGAACGCUCGUAGCAAUACGAGAGUGGCAGACGGGUGAGUAACACGUGGGAACCUUCCCUAUGGUUCGGAAUAGCUCAGGGAAACUUGGGGUAAUACCGGAUAAGCCCUUCGGGGAAGAUUAUCGCCAUUGGAUGGGCCCGCGUCGGAUUAGCUAGUUGGUGAGGUAACGGCUCACCAAGGCAACGAUCCGUAGCUGGUCUGAGAGGAUGAUCAGCCACACUGGGACUGAGACACGGCCCAGACUCCUACGGGAGGCAGCAGUGGGGAAUAUUGGACAAUGGGCGCAAGCCUGAUCCAGCCAUGCCGCGUGAGUGACGAAGGUCUUCGGAUUGUAAAACUCUUUGGCGGGACGAUAAUGACGGUACCCGCAGAAUAAGCCCCGGCU